rnacentral:rRNA from 1 species
AGAGUUUGAUCCUGGACUCAGGAUGAACAGCUGGACGAAGUGGGUAAGGCAUGCAAGUCGAACGGUUCUACUUCGGUAGAAUAGUGGCGAACGAGAUAGUAACGCGUGGAUACAUACCCCAAAGUCAGGCAUAGCCUGGGGGGGUGCCAGGGUAAUUCCUGAUAGUACCCUACUUGCAGGGUAAAGUUUUUCGCUUUGGGAUUGAUCUGCGGCUUAUCAACUUGUUGGUGGGGUAAUGGCCAUACCAAGGCUAUGACGAGUAGGGGGCAUGAGAGUGCGACCCCCAACGAUGGAACUGCGACACGGUCCAUACUCCUACGGGAGGCAGC